UCCGCCCACGAAUAAUCAAACUGUAAAAUCAAUGCCGUUUGGUUCAGACAUGGGCGCACAGCAAUUUGAAGCGAGAUUGAAGUAAGGAUGUUCUUCAUUCUAUGUGUUCAUCCUUUUUCUUUCUUUUUCCAAACUCCGCUUCGGACAUUU